UAUGCACAUAUAUAUAUAUAUAUAUAUAUAUUUAUAUAUUGAGUAUGUCUUUUAACUUUUUUUAAAUGGCGGACUCGAUCUUCUAGUAUUCAAAUAGAUACUUUGGAUUUGAUAUUAACUUAUCCCUUGCAAAAAAAAUCCUUUGGUUCUCUUCAAGAGCAUUCACAAAUAUUUGCGAUAUGCAAGAGUUUAAUUUCGUUUGGAAAAGUGUGUGUGUGUGCACAUAUGCCUUUGUUUCAAGAAUAGAAAAUACCGUUCAGAAAGCUUUCGCAAUUCAACGUAGUACCGAUUUUGAUCGCCAGACGUGAAGAUGUAUUAUGCUGGCUACGCGCACGGAUUUAAGGAAAUAUUCGGGAGUUUUUGAGUAGAUUUGAGGCAUUACUCGAUUAGUUUUUAGUUUUCUCGCUACAUCAUCUGUAUGUUUUGAAUGAAGUGAAACACUUGAAAACCGCGGAUACUGUUAAACCAGGCAAAUACAUAUGUUUUUCUAGUUUUGAAGACCAUUUUUUAAAAAUAAACAAAAAGUGACGUAACUUUUGCCCUGCGACAGAAGCUUUCGCCAGCGAGAAAAAUGAGAGCGUAAAAGAUGCAGCAGUAAUGAGAGCACUUUGAGAGAGUUUUCGUAAACAUAUCAAUUAUAUAUACAUACGUAUAUUUGUUUUUAUUUACUUUGUAAUGUUUAUAAACAAAUGAAAGUCACGUGUCUAACUGAACAGAAUUAAUCGUAUUAAAUCGAAGAACUAAUGCCAAUUCAUCUACUUGUAUACAUAAAUGAGUGAGAAAUACCGGGUGCUAUUUGAAACCGGCCUACGUACAUACAUUGUAUUUAUUGAGAACCCUUAGAAUUCGUUAAUUUUGAAAAUGUCUAAAAAGUGUGGCGUUCGGUCGCUGAGCGACAGUGCCUUGGCCGAACUGGCUAACCAGAUUGUUUCGACGAUCGGCUACGCCAAGUAUGCUCCUGACGUUGUGCUGGACAUCGAUAUUGUGAUGGUGGACAUCAAUCAAUAUCUCGAGCAGACCGGCGCCACUUGGAACAUAUAUCAAGACCUGCUGCGGGUCAUACUCAGCUCCGACUACCUGGAUGCCAACAUGCGUUUCACUUGUUUGCAAAUGCUACUUAACGGCAGUGUAUCGCUUUUGGUCACCGAAGUCUUCCCCUUCUCGUAUUAUGAGAAAAUUCUGCAAGUGAUUGCCGCCCAGGGCACCGGAUUGCGUGUGCUCAAUUUGAAGGGGGUGUGGGUCAAGGAGGAGCACAUGCAUUACCUCUUUGAAAUCGUGCGCAAAUGCAAGUAUUUGACGAAGUUGUUUGUACCAUAUAUUGCCAACGAUGAUCUGCUGGAGGUGAUCGCCAAACACUGCAGUCAACUGAAAGUGUUGGACAUAUCCGGUGAGACAGAUAUCACCGAAAUCGGCAUAGAGUCGCUCAGUCACGGUAUGUGCAAUGAUAAGUUAACGGUUGUGGACGUUGGUAUGCCAGGCGAGGAGAAUAUCUGCUAUUCAGAUAUAGCGCUAAUAUUGGAGCACUGCCCUAAUGUGGAGACGCUUUCCACCUACUCGUUUGUGGGCGCUUCGCUGAAGUUCGUGCAUGAUAAUAUUGACGAGAACUUUACUUGCAAGCUGCGCUAUUUACAUGACACUGGCACGGACGAAGAGACGCUACGUGUUAUUAUGAAGACUUGUCCGCACUUGGAAUCCCUAUAUCUGGACACACCGAAAGCCGGCUCACUUUCUGUGCUUACGAGCACAUUUCUAAGAAAACUGAAAGUCUAUAAAUUUUCAUGCGCUGAAGUAAUGGAUGUACUCGACAGAAUCGGACACAAUCUCAGCCACCUGACUAUGAUAAAGGGUGUUGGCCAUAUGGAAAUAAGCGAAAUAGUUCGUGCCUGUCCUUUGCUGGUCGACUUAGACUGCUAUAUGAUGGAUGGACUCUCCUAUACAAAGGACAGCAAUCGGUUUGAAUGCUUAGAGGGCUUGGAAAUGCUCAGCAGCCCCAUGUCCAACACUUCGCUGAAGAUGCUCAUCUGCAGUUGCAGGCAAUUGAAACGGUUGGCCGUGGACAGCAUCAAUUUCACGGAUGAAGAUAUCAUUAAUAUUUUCGUGGAGCACGAUUUCUAUGCACUGGAGGAUGUCUGGUUCACAUUGGCGCCGAAUUUGACCGUGCAAUCCAUUGAGAUUCUCAUGGACCGGUGUCCGGAAUUGCAAUCGGUGGGUCAGUUAAGUGGCUGGUCUUUGACUCCCGAUGACUUGGCGUUGAUACGUGGACUGUUGAAGAGCGGCAACUCUUGCCUUGUACUUACACCUAGCGGGUUUUUCCCUUGAAAGCUGUGAUUUUAAGCGUUUCACAUUAACUCUCAUACAUAAACAUGCCUACAAAUAAGAAAGCAAAUACUCACCCAGUCGUUCACAUCCAUGAUUUAGCGAAAAUCUGCAGUCGCGGGAAAGUAUAAAAAAGUAAUUUUGGAUUUUUCAUUUUCAAAUUCUCGCCUUUUGUAGCUUUGACAAUCCUCCUGAAAUUGCGAAAACACGUGUGUUUAUGUUUAUUUACUUAAGUGUGGUUACAUAAUUGAUUGAUUUUGAAACUUUGCACAGUUUUUUCUGCGACUACAGAUUAACGCCUAAUCCUCCCGGUACUAAUAAUACUUUAAAUAGUUAUUUUUUUUCUUGCUUUGUUGUUUUUUAUUUUAUUUUCACUAUAUGUAUGUGUAUGUGUGUGCAUAAAUCUGUGAAUGUGAAAAACUAACAACUUUGCCAUUUAUGUAUGCAUGUAUUAGUGUUGACGACAUUGCUUUCCACGAAUCGAAACAUCUCAGUGCUUACAAACGAGCCGCAAAAGAACACACCAUAACUAUGUUUUGCUUCAAUUGAAAUUUCCAUGAUUUUUAUACUUUCGCAAGAGUGUAAACUCUUUUUCACCUCACGAGUAUUUGUAAUGCCUCAAGCGGAACUAUUAUAACCCUGUAUAUAUCAAAAUUGCCACGAUCAGUCUGUCUGUAUCUGCAUGGAUAACUUUGCAGGCCACUCCAUUAUUUCACAUUCUUUCAAUUGGUAAAAGUUGCGAGAGUAUCUGAAGUUUGGCUGCGUCUGAAACGAGAUCUAAUUUGUUAUUAACGUCAUUUAUUACAGUCACUAAUGAAGCCCAGAUUCUUCAUGGCGUAUCUAACCCGCGCUUGCAGUGAAGCCUUUGGAAAACGAGCGAUUUCUUGACUCGACUACAUCGAUCGGACGUACCUAUGUAUGUGCUUUGAAUUAUUUGAAAAUGUGAUAGUAAGAUAAAAUAAAUGUCCGUGUUGAUAAAAAGUGUAAAAAAAACA